rnacentral:lncRNA from 1 species
AAACGCGUUCUCCUUCCCAUUUUCAAAAAUGAAUUUUGGAAAAAAAAAAAAUGGUACACAAAACUCAAAACCUCUAAAAAUACGUUUUGAGAGUUUUCUAGCAAAAACCCGGCAUUUUUUCAAAACACAGGAAACACUCUCAUAUCCAUUUCUCUCCAUCACCGCAUAUCUCUCUCUCACACCCAUUCCAUCCACCUGUUCUGAGCAAAAUUGGGUCGGGCCUAUUGCUGGGCAAGGUGCAGUAGAGGUAGACGUCGUCGACCCAUGUGGUCCGCCACCAUGGGUUGACGUGACGACGUCGAAAUUUGAAGAAAUCAAACUAGGUCAAUUGGGGAUCACGAAUGGUGAUUUUUCUAGAAUUGGGAUUCAAAUUUGCUGCUGAAUCUGAUACAGUGUGGGAGUGUUUUAGAGUUUUAUGUGCAUUUUAGAUUUUUGAAUUUAAAGAUUUGUGUGCGUUUUAGAGUUUUGUGUGCUUGUGUGCUUUUUAGAGUUUUGAAUUUGAAGAUUGGUAGGGUCACUCAUGACUAACUUCCUUUUCUUUGAAUAUGAUCGGAUUAGUUGCUAUUUAACUUUUUGUUGACUUUAUUUUUGCGUAAGAACGAAUUUACCUAGUUACUAUAAAUUGACUUCUCUUGUUUAAUUUCUGGUGCUACUCAAUCUCAAGUGACCUAUAAUACUCGAUUAUAUAUAUGCGUAUGCUUAUUGAUAAAAAGUUCACGUUGUAUGCCACCGGAAUAACAAAAAAUUUGGAUAAAAUCUUGUUGGAAUGAAAUUUUGUGCAAGAGUUAGAAGAAUAAUCUUGAUGAGUACAAUUAGGGUUGAAAUUAUUAGAAGAACAUCAUUAUCAUUCGUUUCUAAUGAUCAAAGAGAUUUGUAUCGAACAAAAGAUUUCUCUGGUGGAAACAUUAUCUGAUUCCUGGUUUUUUGUUUUUUCUUUUCACAGUUGUUUAUUUUGAACUUCUAAUUUCUCUUGCAGGCCUUUCUAGAGGUUGAUAUUGUUGCAUAUGGAGGUAUGCUUGUAUCUUAUUAUGGCUGAGUGAAAAGUAACUCUUAUUCGUUAGUCAAAUUCUCUAGGUUCUUUUGUAUGAGCUUGUAAUUUCUACUCAUAUUGUGUCAUUUGAUCAAAUAAUUCAUUGAGUAAAGAAAAUGAAUUAUUAGUUCUUACGUGUUUUCUUAAAUGGGAAGUUUUAUCAUUUUUGGUUAGGUUUAGACCCUCACACUGCCGUUUUAGAGAAGUCAUCUAUUCGUAUUCACAAAAUGGUAUGAUUACUCACUGCUGGACUGAUUGUACUUAAAAUUCUCAAGACAUUAAGAAUAACUCUAUUUUGUUUUGGAUAGCCGCAAUGGCCAACUAGUGUUCGAAGUCUGCCAAAGAUACUUCGUCCCUUAAUGCUUAUGCUCAAGACAAUUGUUAAAUUUUUUUUGCUGCUUUGGUAUAUUUGCAUGAAGAUACCGGCUCCUAAUGUCUUUAUCGUCCAGGUGAGCUUCAAACUUGUGCUCAUUCAGUCAUUAGAAAAGUGACAUCUAAUGGGAUCAUAAUUUUUUGUUAACUCACUGUCAUAUGAUUGGCUUUAGUUUUAUGCUAAUGUUGAAUUUUGUGAAACUUUUUGGUUAGGUUCAUGCCCUCACACUGCCAUUUUAGAGAAAUCAUCUAUGUAUGUAUUGCUUCCUUCGACUGGAGUUGCAGAGGAAUUUACAAUUCAAUUGAGAAAAUCAAACUUGCACAACCAGUUUGUGAUUGGAAAGCACAAGUUAUGGAGCCACGCCAUGUUUUGCACACAUUUUUUUGCAUUAGAAUAGAGGGGAUGUUCCCAUAAAAAUUAAAAAAAAAAAAAAAUUGGAAUAGAGGGGAUGUUAUUUUCUUGGAUAUGAUACUUGAUUGUGAGUAUAAUAGCAUCAAAUGUGUUAUUUGCCUCAAAAGGAUUAUAUACUUUUGAAGUAAUUUGUACGCCUGAGGUUUUAAUCAAGACAAGUUUUAC